rnacentral:rRNA from 1 species
AGUGAACGCUGGCGGUAGGCCUAACACAUGCAAGUCGAACGGCAGCACAGUAAGAGCUUGCUCUUACGGGUGGCGGGUGGCGGACGGGUGAGGAAUACAUCGGAAUCUACUUUUUCGUGGGGGAUAACGUAGGGAAACUUACGCUAAUACCGCAUACGACCUACGGGUGAAAGCAGGGGAUCUUCGGACCUUGCGCGAUUGAAUGAGCCGAUGUCGGAUUAGCUAGUUGGGGGGGUAAAGGCCCACCAAGGCGACGAUCCGUAGCUGGUCUGAGAGGAUGAUCAGCCACACUGGAACUGAGACACGGUCCAGACUCCUACGAGAGGCAGCAGUGGGGAAUAUUGGACAAUGGGCGCAAGCCUGAUCCAGCCAUACCGCGUGGGUGAAGAAGGCCUUCGGGUUGUAAAGCCCUUUUGUUGGGAAAGAAAAGCAGCAGCUUAAUACCCCGCUGUUCUGACGGUACCCAAAGAAUAAGCACCGGCUAACUUCGUG